UACGAAGGGUGCAAGCGUUACUCGGAAUUACUGGGCGUAAAGCGUGCGUAGGUGGUUUGUUAAGUCUGAUGUGAAAGCCCCGGGCUUAACCUGGGAAUGGCAGUGGAAACUGGCGGGCUUGAGUGUGGCAGAGGGGGGUGGAAUUCCGCGUGUAGCAGUGAAAUGCGUAGAGAUGCGGAGGAACACCGAUGGCGAAGGCAGCCCCCUGGGCUGACACUGACGCUGAGGCACGAAAGCGUGGGGAGCAAACAGG
rnacentral:rRNA from 1 species